rnacentral:lncRNA from 1 species
CGCUCGGCGAGUUGGCGGCGGAGCCGGCAGGCCGCGGAGGUCACUAUCACAUGACAAAGGCUUUGAGACAGCUUCAUCUUCGUCUGUCUGUAGUUUCCACUUGCCUUCCUGGGUGAGUAUGUAAACCGUACGCACAGAAAAAGAGCUCGCUUCUUGCUCCUGAGGCAGAGCAGCUCUCGGUGCCGCCUCGGACAUGGAAGAUGCUCGUUUGGGUUCCGCCACCACAGGAAACAUGUCUUCUCCGGGUGCUUGGCAGCAGCUGCUGGCUUGCAAAGUUUCUGCACGGGGGUCGGAUGGGCCGAGCACUGUGUGUCCUUGCAUCUCCUGUCCCUUCAGCACUGUUUUGUCUCCCUUUUUUUUGUUGUUUUUUUUUUUGAACCCUGUUUUGUAAGGAUGAUGAAUUCGUUGGCUUAGGGCUGAAGUUUUUGAACCGAAGUAAUGUGAAGAUGCACAGAGUGAAGUGUGGUGGUCAAAGGCUUGUUGAGAUAGUGAUGAGGGGAAGGACGUGGAAAAUACCAACCGCUGGAGCAGACGAUGGGAAAUCUGUGUGGGUCAGGAAUCGGCGAGAGGUUUGACGUAGCAGCAGCGCUACUACAGCAGGAGUUGGUUCGGUUCUAACACGUAAACAGCACUAAUUAGAAUUCCACCCAUACUGUUUCUGUGUUGCUGUUUGUUUUUUUUUUUUGUUUGUUUGGCAUUGAUGAAUGCAGGUACCUCUCAAUCUGAAAGACGAACCUUAGUGACUUAGUAAUAGCAUUCCUCAGCCUUCCUGUGUGCAGCUUCCUGUCUUUCCUUAUGCUGUGGAAAAGUUCUGACGCUUUCUGAUGAAGAAUUCGCUUUCAGAGCUGAAGUGGAUGAGGUCAUGUAAAGGAGAGGUUGUACAUUUGUGGGGUUGUGUUCAUACAUAGCAUGAAGCGUGUGCCACAUGGAGCACCUUUCAUGCCAUUGCCACAGUGGCACUGAACUGCUUUGGGCCUAAAAUGAGGAAGUGGGAGACUAUUUUUUAUAUAUAUAUAUAUGUGUGUGUAUGUGUGUGGGUAUAUACUUAUUUUUAAUGGCAAUUUUGUAUACUUAACAGAAAACAAGAUGAGACAUGCAUUUGGGAUAAGCUUAGCACUCAUAAACAUGAAGGAUUAAUAACAUAGCCGUGACCUUUUCCAGUCGGUGUGCAGCAGACUUGUGAUAAGUGAUGGUCCCAAACAUGCCAGCUACAAGGGGGCUGCAGGGAGCUGCUGUGCUCUGUGGUGCUGUGGCUGCAGACCCAUUCUUCAGUCUGGGAUUACGGCUGUAGUGAGGUGGGCCACAGGGGCAGUGCUGCCUGUCCUUCAGUUCUUGUAGAAUUGCACCCAAAUCUUCAUUCUCCAAAUGCUAUGGGCAGUGGGGUUGGUGUGAGUAGGUCUGAGACUGUAAACACCAGAUUAAACUACUGAAAUUCUUUAUGACAGGUUGUUGCUUUCUGUUCUGUAGCAUUACUGACAUCCUGCUCUGCGUAGAGUAACCGAUGCAGUGUUUUUCCCUAAAGUAAGAACAUGCUGAGAAAUUCAAUAACUGGCUGAUAAGCUUCAAACUGUUAUUCAGAGCUAAAUACAUAUACGCUGAUUUUUUUGGGGCUGAUUUGUUUUGUGUUUUCAGGUUAGAGUCGGGUUAGAGGUCUAUAAGUGCCUGGAAUUUCUUUAUUUGGAGCAAUAGUAAACGGCAAUGGGCAAGAGCACCAUGGAGACCUUGCUUCAGGUGGGCUCUUCAGUCAUUUUCUAGCUUUAGUUUUGCGUGAUGAAGCCUUCUGUGUGCAUGGGAGUUCAGUCCUAGAAGUGAGGUGGGGAUAAUCAUCUGCCUACAACUUCUAAGAGGAGUGGGCCUCCGUUUUGUGUGUAGUGCUAAGUGUAGCACUUGCCUAAUAUCGAUCUGACACGAACAAAUUGCCAAGAGAAGUGUCCUUUUGAACAAAAGGCACGAUAGAAGUUUUAGGAGAGGCUGAGAAGUACGUUUCCUCAUAGCUUAAAAAGUAAUAAAAAUAGCAUAGCCAUUUAAAGGGGAGAAUCAAGAUUUUUGUUAGAUUUGGCCACAACUAGAAAUAUCCGUUUACUUUAAGGAGUGCUUGUUUUGGUAACAACAAAGAUGUGCUUUAUUACAAAGUCUCACUGAAGUAUCCCUCCGUGGCUGGAGUUCAGUAAUCCGGGCCUGGCGUACAGAAUGGCCUUGGGAAGCAGCGCCAGGUAGAGUGCUGGUGUGUCACGGGCUGGGAGGUGGAGAUCUGCUUAGGAAGGGGCCACGAGAAAUUCUCAGACAUUGGUCCCUCUCUCAAAAGUUUGUUGUGCGUUUCCCUUCCUCUCAGCGCAGUGGGCUGAUAAAGUGUUUCAAAGCAGACCCACAAUUUAGGAAGCUUCUGUGUUGAGCUCAGCUUGCAGUAUGUCAGGAAGUUGCUCUGGGUGCUUUGGAGUUGUUGGGGGCUGCUUGCUCUGCACCCAGUGCCUGCGAAGCUCCUAUAGGUUUCAGUGGGAGCUGUGUUUAGGAGAGGACUUAUAGUGAGAGGAAUUAGUCCAUGCUUGUUUUCCAAUUCAAGGAGGAAAACGUUCUCUGUCAUAGCUGUUGUGUGAAUAAUUAAAGAUCUUAAAUGUCACAUUUUCCACAUAAAGUAUGAGGGGUAAUCAUGCGUUUGUUUUAUACCUCACACUUUUUUUUCUUCCAGAAUGCUUGUAAUGCACUCUGUUCAGAUGUUAGUGGUUCUCCAGCUUGUGGUCCUCUAAGCACACAAACAUCUUUAAGCGUGUGUGACAAGCCUUGCUAAGUUCACUGUUAUCUUUGCUUGUGUUCAGAGCUGAAAGUUCUUCCAGGUUGCUGCUGCUGCUCGUACUCUGUGGGCUGAUGAUCAGUGAUGUCCUGGACAGGGCUUGUUGCAGGCUGUUAGGAAGUUGGGGAACUUGGAGCAAGUGGAUGGGGAGAGUUGCUCUUCACUAUGUGUAGUAAUGGGGAGCAUGCCGGUGAGGUGUAUGCCACACGCGUGCAGGCUCUGCUGCGGUGUGAAGGCUGUAAACACACCUGCAGUGACACCUGGGCAGCUGUGAGCUGAAACGCCGCCUCUCUUUGGCCUCUGUAUGGCACAGGCAGUUGUUCAGGGCUCCAUGUUUGUGAGAAGGUGGCCCUGUGAUGGAGGAGGAUGCUAGAAAUUAAAGCUGGAGCUGAACUGAAACUCUGGUUCUAAUUCCUAACCAUAACUCACGCUGUCAUUGUUAAAACCAGCAGCUGCUUUCCAAACUGUGGGCCUGGGUUGCAUCCUGUGCCCUGUGUGUGUGGGUGGUGGGCUGAAGGUUCACAGGGUCAGAGCAUACUUGUGGAAAUGCAGCCAUAUGUCCUUCUCCACCUGCAGAUGGAGGCUAAUGAAACUUCCCUUCAUUAAACCGCACUGUGCCCGUAUAUGGGAACAGUUUACCUGAGUGAAUUAAGUUUGUUUUAGCACAGUAUGGAUACGGUUUUACCUUGCUGUAACCAUAAUAAUGUAUGCUUUCUUUAUUACUUAGGAGUUUGCAAAAGUGUCUUGAUGUUGGUCAUAUGUAUUUCAUACGGGGGGAGGGAGAGCAGGAAGAAGUCAGCUUUUUUUUUUCUGCAGUAUUAUCUUUAUUCCUUUUCCUUUCUUCCCCUUAUUAUUAGGGGAAUUCAGCGUCAGAAGCAGACUCCCUGUUUGUUUGUUUUUUUUACAGCUACUACUAUUUAUUUAUUUAUAACUGCUGUUAUUUAAGUUUUAGUGAUAGUGCAGUGCUUCAUUCUGAGGGUGGUGUGCUAAGCCUGGUGCCUGCGGAUGCAUAUGUGUCCCAUAGAAGACCCCCAGCUGUCACUCCUCUUGAUAGGUUUCAGAUGGGGUAAGACCUGAAUCAGCGUAGGGGUUACUCAGACUUGAAUAGCAGAUUGACAGCCCGCUGUUAGGUUGCAGUGCUUUAGGGAAAAAUAAAAACAACAAAUCUCACGUUGUUCUCUGAACUGUAUUACUGAUAAUUGGCAUUGCCUUGUUCAUGUACUUGUGCCCUGUCUGGAAAAGCAACAUAAGUCAUGCUAUAAUCACACACACCUCAAAACAAGGAACAGUCACUUCUUAUCCCUGUUCUAGGCACCUGAGAUACAGAACAGUGAAGCAGUGCAGGCUUGUCUGCAGCCAUUUAGCAGGUUAGUGUGAGCAAGGAAUGGAAUCAGACCCACAUCUGACUCCUUAGUUGUGCCCUUUCCCUCAGUGUGUGCUUCCUACGAAGCUUUCCUGAUAAAUGCCCAUCGUGAUGUGUGUGCGGUCUCACUGAAUUCUGUGCCAGCUGAGCAUCUCAUGCUAAUACCCAACUUCCUCCAUAGCACAACUUUAAAAAGAAAGGUGUUUUAGAGUAGUGUGAAGCUGCUAGCUUUGGACUCUGUUGCUACUGACAGGAGGGCUUUAGACUGAGAGGAGAACUCACGGAAGAGUUUUUGCCACUGAAUGUGCUAUUUGGGCUAUAGAGUGUAUUAUGCUGUUUAAUACUAACUUCUCUGCGUUAACUUUAUGCAAUCAGGUAUUGGUUUUCAUAGAAAUAUGCAUUGUCUGAAUAGUUUUUUUUUGUAUGACUACGUUGUUUUUAUUUCAUAUUCUUAAUCUAGUGCUGAGUUGCAGCUAACCUUUUCAUGGAACGUGACAUUGACAGAAGAGCCUGCUUUAUCAUUCUGGCCCUAAUUUGAUAAGAAGCCUAACUUACCAAACUGAGCUUCUGUUUCUAAACCCAGUAAAGGUGUUUCAUGUAAGGCUUUAAGAUUUGUUGAAAACCACUGUUUGGCUACUGUGGAGAUGAGGCGGCUUUGGUUUUAAAACAGGAGCUCUACUCGAGGAGGAGAGGAAACUUCAGUUAGUGAAGAUUUCAUUGUAGCAUUUGCAGCGACAGUAGCAUUUUAUCAUUUCUAGUGUUUACAAAGGUGAUAACAAGAGAUGAAUCAACAAAGAGGGAGAGCACAAGCUUGACGUUUUCUCAUGUUCCUGCCUUUUCCUUCAUAGUACACGAAUGCCCAGAGUAAUAGCAAGUCCUCAUGAGCACGGACAAUUCAGCGUGUGAAAAUACACCAGCUUCAGGCAUCUCUGUAUACAAAAAGCUGCUACAACAGAAGUUCAGUUUUUAGCGAGGAGAAGGCAAGCUAACUGGAUUUUAUGCAAUUACACUAAGAAAAUCCAUCGCUUGGGAAGCGUGGAAUUCUUAUCAUCAGAAAUCCUCCACGUGGGUGUUUCAGUAUAAAAGAUAUUACAAAAUGGGAAAAUCUUCAAAAGUAAGAAACGGCAUUGCGCUGACCCUUGUUGUCACUGAGCGUCUCUUCCAGCAAAGAUGAAAGAAAUUCAGUGGGCUUCCACAGCAUGAGAUGUAAGUUCUCUGAACUUAGUUCAAGUGGAAGCUGCCUUGACAAAAACCUCAACAAAUCCUGUCUGCAUCUUCCCUUGCUGAGGGGAAGUGGGAAGUUGCUCAUCCUGGUGCCUGUUGUUUUUGGUGAAGGGCAGCCCCUCAGCACUGCUGAUGACAGAUGAAUUGGCCCAUGGCAGGGUUCAAGUGAGGAAAGCUUGAACGUGGGCCUCUGGUGAGCUGACCACACUGUGAUGGCUGCUCUGUGCUGCAGAGUGUGCCGAACAGUGCCUUUAACAGGAUGGAAACUGCUUAGGGAACUUUACUGCUGUUUGGUGGCUUUGAUCCUGUACCUUUCAGGUAUUUCCCAAGUACAGCUUUUCUGCAGUUAUGUAAGGACCUUCAAGCAUCUGCACUGUCAGAAGUAGUCUCUGUUCUUUCUUCUUUCCUUUUCUCCCCACACUCUCCCCAGUCAGGACUUAACCAACAGCCUCACAGGAGUGGAUAAGGCACGUUGCGUGAUAAUAGUUGGGAUUAUGUCUUCUACAGUAGCAUAGUAAGUCGUCUUUCUUCUUUUAUGAAGCAAAUUAUCCUAAGUUCUUGCUUAUGUGAGCUUAUUUAAGGGAAAAACACCAUGAGAGAUUUGGUGAUGGAGAUUGAUAAAGAAAACCUUAGGAGGGAAUGAAUAGAGUAACACAAAUCAAAAUUUUCCUUAUUUUCACACUCUUCAGCAUGAAAUAACUCCACGAAAGUCAGCAAAGCUGAAACAUUGUGAUACUCUGCGUUAAAAUCAGUAUAUGAAAGUUAAGAGGAAGUUGUGCUUUUUUUUUUUUGCCAGGUUGAUGAAAUGGACAUUGUUAUGGUUGGCCGUGGUUGGUUUACUCUUCACAAGUCACUUUUAAGCAAUAGCAGUCCUACAGUGAGCCACAUCGUGCUGAUUCAUGUAUUUUAUUAUUAUCCUUCCUAUUUUUUGUGAGGUAAAACAUGGGAAUGUCAUUGCAUCUUGGCCUAACUAUCAAAGAGCUCUGUCCUGCAGCUACUUCUUUGCAGUUGGAUUACUGGACAGGGACGUGGUUUAGUGGAGGGUUGUUAGAGUUAAGGUAGUACGGUGAGGUCGUGGUUGGACUUCAUGAUCUUGAAGGUCUUUUUCCAACCUGAGCGAUUCUAUGAUGUACACCCCUUCUAGGAUCUGACCAAGGCUGCUGGUAGCCUGCAAUUCCUCAGGAAGGCUGCCAAUUUUGCGUUAUUCUUAAUUAUUGAUAUGCAGUCAGUCCUGCCAGGGUCACACACCCAUUGCACUCAGCGAUCAGUGUGCGAGUGUAUGGCCUCAUGAUGAGCAAUAGAGGAAGGGCAAGGAGCACAGGCUGAAAUGUGCAGAGCUCCUGGAAAUGAAAGGGGCUGGGAGAGUAGCAGGUGGAUGGUGUGGCAUUUGUCACAUGUGUACCAUUACUUUGCACAUACGUUUGCAUCCCAAGGUUACGUGGCUCAGCAAGAAAAGUGUUUUGAUGCAGGUUAAAUCAGUAGUUGGAGAGUACAGAUUUUGAAAGAGGUAUUGUUAUCACCUCCAGUUCACUCAAGUCUGGCUUCAGUUGUCCUUUCUCUUUGCAAUAAGUUUCUUUAAUGCUCAGUUCUCGUGUCGUGGAGUGCAGACAUCCUGCCUGCCUGCCUCAGUUCUCACUGGUGAACGCUGUGCCCCAGACCUGUGAGUUUCAGCAUUUACCUCAUUUGGAUGUCUCAGAAUUCUUGCUUUCUUCAAGUAAAAUGUCUCUAUUUGUGUUUCUUGCCUCUAAUUUGUUUGAGAUACUCUUUCAUACAUUGUGUUAAACAUCAGUCAUCAAGUGCUCAUAAUAUAUUUUGAAACAAGUACACAAAAUUGCAGCGCGAUUCAGCACUGAUUACAGAGCUAUGGCAUAGGAAUUAAUAAGAAAAUAAAAAUAGCAUAAUUAAUUUCCAGCUGCUUUUGGAGAAACAGGGGUGUUUAUGGGGGAAAUUUGGUGUCUGCAAAAUGAGGAAUGACAAAGCUGGUAGCAAAUACUUUAAUGCAAGAACCUAUUUGCAGUUUGCUUCCUCUGCUCUAUUGAUUAAAAACACAUUCCAGUGCUGAAAGAGUAAACAGAAGUUGCUGUGCUGCUUGUUGAAGGCUGCUGGACUAAAUAAAGAGCACGAGUGUCAGAACUAGAGCAAGGGGAGGAAGUUUUCAAUUUUAUUUAUGGGUAUAGAAAACCUUAACUGAGGGCAGUAAAGCACGGACAGCUGAGUGGAAUUGUUGGUUGCGUGUCCCCCUUUCCCAUUAAUCUGAAAGAGAACUGCCUGCAUGUGUGUGAGAGGAAAACUGUCUCCAGCCGUUCCCCGUGGUAUUAACUCAGUGUUUUCCUCGCAUGUCUUGUAUGUGCUCACCUCUGUGUUGCUGCAGAGCGUCGGGUGCUUGCAUGGAGUACAUCGUGUGGCUCAAAGUGACCUGGGCCAAACCUGAUGCUGUGAGAGCCCUGUGAGGCUUGGUUUCCUCACAAGGACGCUGUCAGAGGAGCUGCAGCUCUGCCAUCUCUGCACAGUUCACUGCUGCUGCGAGCUGACUGCUCAUCCAGGUGGAUCUCUGAGCAAGGCUUCAGGCCUCUUUGCCCAGGCCUGCCUGGUUUGCAAGCAGCAAAGGACGAUCCUGCCCCUGUGGGAGGCAGGUCCAGAGGAGGCAGUUAUUUAUUUGCCGGAGGAGCAGGCUCCUGGUGACGUGGUGCUGCGGGUGUUGUGCUUUCUGCUUGCCGUCCUGGGUGGUCCCACAGGGCAGUGUGCAGAGUUCGGUUGCUCUUUGUUAAGGGAGACAGAGCAAACGGACCAGGGGAGGUGAGGUGGUUGUCACAGGUGUCCCCACGCGGUGGGUGGCAGCUCAGGCCUCCCAGUGAGGACUGUGGCUGCUCUGAGUUGGGAAUCCUACAGAGAAGUCUUUGGAUGUGUUUUCUGCGCUGUCAGACCUUGCAGCCAUCAAGCCAGGCUGAGGCAGAGUGUGGAGGCAGGCAGAGCUCAAACAGGGAGACUCUUACACCCCAUCUUCAUGGCUUUUAUGAGCCUCAGGUGUGCACAUUACCUUUGCACAUGUGAUGCCCUGGCAUUCCAGUUCUGUCUGUACAACUGAUUGAAAUUGUGACCGUAGUCAGUAAGUGCUUGGCUUAAAUUGGUGAUUUUAAUCUCAUUUUGCUUGAUGUUUUUGUAUUUGUUUUCUCAGAGGCAAUCUCUAUUGGUAGGCGACCGUUAAAAUAUAUUGCUAAAUGUAGCCUUUACACUAAGUUUGGCACUUCUUUUUUGCUAGUUCAGAGGAUGCACUGUAUGCCUGCACCUUUUAUAAGUGAUUACAUGGCUUAUAUGCAUUUAUUUAGUUUGUGAGUGAUGGAAAGCUUUUGUUUAGAACGUGACAAAUCAUACUAUUUAGACCAUGGUCUUUAAGAGUCCUAUUUAUUAAAGUAAUACAUGUGCACAAACACUCCUGUAUGGGUUAAUGCAGGCUGCGCUUGCACUCACUGCUUUAAAGAAAGUAUGAUCCCGAAUAAGGCACAGAUUCUGAUGUAACCAAACUAAGCUUUUUGAACUGGGAAAACUGAUCUCUAUUUAUUUCACUCUCUCAAAAGAGAAGAAAAAUGAGCUUUCUUGCUUUUCCAACUUUAUAUCACUUACUCUUUCUCUGCAACUGCAGUGGAAGUUGCUGCUUUCAGGUAACUUGGUUCUAAACGUAGUUCUUCUUCCUUGUCCUUCAGUUCAGUAUUUGAAUUCUGUUUACAAUUUUGAAAUCAAAAGUAAAAAUAAUCUAUUAUAUGUUGAGAGUUAUAAAACAUUGCAGUAGAAUUUUAGCAUUGAUUUGUCAUAAAACUAUAUUACCUUCAGGCAUGUUUUAUAUUAAUAUACGUUAAGCAUCAGUAACGUCUGAUUGAAAUCUGAGUCUAAAUUCUUCGUUCAGAAAAGAAUUGUUUUAAUUGUAAAUCUAUUUACGUUAAGCUGAAUAUGUUUUCUAAGGCAACUUCAGUAUCCAUUAUCCGAAGUUCCUGUUUGUAAUAACAGAAGUCUGCCACCACGGAGGAGCACAGAGCAGCUCACUAGAUGACGCUGUAGCUGGGCUAACAUCUGUGUGGGAGAUGGACACCUCUGCUGCUCCUGGCAGGUACAGAUGAACAGAGACCUGUCUAUUUACAAAGUUGCGUGAUUAGAAUAAAUAAAAACAACGAAGUGAUUCUUUUAAAACUGCUGUGGCAGUCUUUCCUUCAGAUUGUGUGACAUGUGGCUGUGGUUUUAAUGGUCAAGGGAGGGCUUGGUAAUUUCCUCGAAUGAGUCUAGCACCACUGCUGUUCAGAACCUGAUUUCAGUUUUUGGGCUUUUUGUUGAAUGCAUUUUCCUCAGCUUCAUGUAUGUAUUAGAUGAAGAAAAUGAUUAAAAAAAAACACAAGAUAAAUAAAAUGGUAAAUACCAUAGAAACUCUACAGGGUAACAUGGCUAAAGAAUUCUAACCUCCUUCCCUCCCUUCCUCCCUACUCAAAAUACUAAUAGCAUCUUAACAGAGUCAAAAAAAAGACUUGAUGACAUAUAUUGACUCUGCAGCUCCAUGGUGCUUUUCUGCAGCAGGGGAAGAGUGUGCCAGUGUUUGUGACUACAAAGGAAUGCAGAAUUAGACCUUAGAUGGUUGGAGGGUUGUACUCAGAAAUGUAGAGUGUGCCUGAGGCCUGUGGCAUGGUUAUACAAACUAUUCCCAUAUUGUAAUUUUGCUCCCCCCAAAAAGAAGAAUGACACACUUCAAGAAGUGUUUUUAUGGCCUUCUUUCCUCAGUGCAAGCAGAUUUUGUGAUCUUGGCUUUCUGUCCUGUUUGUCCAAAUUCUUUUCAUCAAUGCGUAGAGUAUUCGAAGUAUCUACAGCUGUUGGGGUUCUUGUAUAGCUGAAUAUUAACAUAUAAGAUGAAAACCUAAAUGGAAAUUAGAAGAGACUUGAAGUGACAGUCAAAAUGCUGUUCACAGGUAUUUAAAACAGUCAAGAACAACAGCGUUCCUUAAAAAAAAAAAAAAGUGGGAAACUUACUGAAUAUUAUCUACACUUUUCUUAAGAAAACUUGCCAAAGUUAGAUGAAUUGCUCAUCCUGAAAGGGUCAUCAUUUUCAUUUUCACGCACAUUUGCUACAAGAGUAGUAGGGAAAUAAGUCACACAUUUUAGGCAGCUUUUCUUAUGGAAGCUGUUUAUUGCCAAAGCAUUCAUGUUUUAUGAAAGUGCCUUAAAACAAUUAGCUCUUGUUUGGCAUAAGUGUUUAAACAGAAUGCUUUAGUAAUGUGGCUGAUUUUAUAGUUACUGCGUUUCCUUAGGAUUGAACUAUUCUUGUUCUGACUCGUUUUCCUCCCCCCUUAAAUAUGUGAAAUGUUGAGGCUUUCUUUUUCAGAAAAGAAGUAUUUGAGCCGAGAUGUUUUUCAGGAGUUGUGGUAUCUUGGAAGGGUGUUCUGGAUGAGAUGUCUAAGAGGCGCCCCUCCCUCAGUGUGUGCUUAGCGGUGCUUUCCUGAUGUCUCACACUGAGGUGGGCUACUGGCCGUAUAAAAAACCAAAAAAUGUGGUUAUAAGAUUCCCUUUAGUCCGAGCUCUGAGCUGAUGUGUUUGUGCGAGCCCACUGAGGCUGCUGGAGCAGAGCUGGGCUCGGUUUGUCAUGGGAAUUCUGGCAAAACCACCUAGGGAAACCGCGUGUUUAAACUCUUGCUGUAGCUACAUUGGCGAUGCUUGAUGGGAAGAAUGAGACACCCCUACCCCUCUGUGAGGUUUUUUUGGAGGUGUGGGUUUGGUCCCAUCACUGCAAAUUAAUUCCUCAUUCUCUCAGGAACAGUGCUACGAUGGCUCACAUCACUGUCUCUCCAAAUUGAGUUAGAAGUUUGCUGUUGGCUUCAGUGGAAGGAAAUUGGGGUUUGUAGCAAAUGUCUUCAUAGAUCUAAUUGAGGGAUUUAUUCUUUAAGGCUCGUCUGUACUUGAUCUGUAUCAUAAUACUGGUUAUUGGUGUGGAUUUUACUGUACAGAAACAGGGGUGAAAGUAUGAGUGUGGAUACAGUAAGCUCACAAUUAAGGUACUGUGUGCCACAACAAUUUCCUCACCUUCAGAGACCAAAAUAAGCUGUAAAAUCUUUUCUAUAAGGGUAUAUUUGCACUUCUGUAACUGCCUUUUGGCCCAUAAAGGUAUCCUGGCAUAACAGCUUCUUUGUGAGGCACACACAUAGAAGGAGAUCCCUUGAGUGGUUUCCACUAGGAUCCUGGUACCUCAGUUAUUCUGGUUGUGUUCUGGUGUAGCUGAAGCAGGAACAUUUUCCAAGGCAGACAGAUUCUUUGGGUAACAUGUGAAUUACACUCAAAAAGUGUUAGGAGUGAAGGAGAGAAAGCUUGGAGUGAGUUUCUAGUAAGAUGUGCAUCAGGCACUGAAUGAACUUUAUUAAGUAUGACCUGAGGCAUAUGCAAUACUGUAUCUAAUACAAUUUACUGUUUAAGCUCAAAUAUAUUCAGAGAGAUGGUUGAAAAUACAUUCUAGUUCUACACUUACACUUUAGGAAGCAAAUGAAAGGCUAGCACUUCCUUCUAGGAUCCAAAGAGUGAAAAUUGUGCCCAGUGAAACAGGAAAAAAGAAAACAGGCCAGUCAUGAAGCUUUACUAUUAAUUUGCUUCGUGAUCUUGGGUAGAUUGCUUCCUCUUUCUGUUUCUCCGUUCACAAAUCUGGGAUGGUGAUGUCUCCCUCCUUCAUUAAGUGCGGUGCAAUCUCUGCAAGGAAAAAACUUGAUGCUGUGUUGUAGGGCAGAAAGUUUAAAAAAAAAAAAAAAAGAGUUCAGAUUUUUAUUUUUUUCAUUUCUUUCCAAGUGUUGGAUCUGCCGUAAGGUAAAAUACCAGUUAAAAUUACAGCACUAUUAAUACAAUACUUAAUCUCAGUAUAAGUCCCCUUGGCUUGGGUUAAUGUCUGUGAUGCUUUUUAACAUCUGAAAAAGCUGCUGCUUCCUCUAGAGGGGUGGACUGAAGGUUCACUUGUAGCAUUUCAUCCUACCAGAGAGUCACAAUAAUUUGCUUUCUAACCAGUUAUCUAAACAGAAAAGUCUUUGAGUGUACUGUAGAACCACAGAAUCAUGGAACUGUGGGAGUUGGAAGGGAUAUAUAGAGAUCAUCUAGUCAAACCCCCCUGCAAAGUAGGCUCUCUACAGCAGGCUGCAAGGUUGGCAUCCAGAGGGGUCUCGAGUAUCUCCAGAGAAGGAGAAUCCACAACCUCCCUGGGCAGCCUUUGCCAGUGCUCCGUCACCCUCACUGUGAAGAAGUUCAUUCCCAUAUUGGUAUCGAACUUCUCAUGUUCCAGUUUAUGGCUAUUUCCCACUAUCCUGUCCCCACAGAAGAUAUCCUAUAAACAUUAAUAAGAUCUCCUCUCAGUCUUCUUUUCUCAAGGCUGAAUGGACUCAGGUCACCCAGCCUUCCCUCAUAUGGGAGAUUCUCCAGGCCCUUUAUCAUCUUUGCGGCCUUCCACUGGACUCUUUCCAGGAGAUCCCUGUUUUUUUUAUUAUACUGUGGGGCCCAGAGCUGGAUACAGUACUCCAUGUGAGGCCUGACCAGGGCAGAGUAGAGGGGGGUAGAUGAUGAUGAUGUUGUCAUAAAUAUGUUACAUAUUUCUUUAAACAAUAACACACUGUUAGGGUGUAGUAACACUUUACUGUCAUAAUUGCAUACUUCUACAGGUAUCAGCUAAGUAUUUCUUACAAACCCUUCAGAACUUUAUUUCACAGAUUGCAGAGUUGUCCCAGGGAUGUUCAGGUAAGGCCAGAGCAUGGCAGAACUUCCGAACUUCCUGGAAUUUUCUACAUCACUGUAAAUAUUUAUUAUACCUUCUUCUUUGUUACUAAAACUUCUGUCCUGUAUGUACACUGGCUGACAGGAAAAAAAAAGUAAUAACUUUGUCAUGUCAGAUUUCAGGCUGACUGGCUGAGUAUUCACAAACUGCUACCAAAUCUGCCAGCGUCAGAAUAUUCAGAACUGUUCUUCCCUAUGUAAGAGCUUGCACUGCAUGAUAGAAACAUAACCCAGUAGGAUCUCUCCUUAACUUGGUGCUGUAUGAAUGCCGCCCUCCGUUCAUCCUACUUCUCUGAAAGUGACUUCUGCAGGGAUGUAUGAGAGUGCUCUGCCUGCGGUCUGAGGUGUGCGGAGGUGGUAGAAGUGUGUUUAUGCUGGUACUAGGCAUGCACUGAAAUGUCCCACUGCUCAAAGACUUCAUUAAGCCAGGCCUGGUCUGUACCUAAGUAGUUCAGCUGCUCUAGAGAUUGACAUAACUGGUGUAGAAGGAAGAAAACAUUGCAGCAGUGUGGGGCUUUGUGGGCUACUUGGUGGUCCCAGUCUCACGUUUGAACUUGUAGUUUUAAGUAGUAGUUCAGUAACAAGGAAGCCCAAUGACUGUCUUUUAAGGCAGAUUUGACUGAGAUUCACUGGAUUUUGUGCUUUCUUCUUAUAUGCUGCUAUUGUUCAGAGCUUUGGACUUCUGUGUCGACCGAGGGUUUUAAGCAUGUUCUGCUUUCUCAAUUGGCACACAGUCUUGACCAUACCAGAACUUCAAUUUUUAAUACCUUGUCCACCUUCUGAUUUCAAAUCCAGCCAUCUGAGUGCUUAGCUGUGAAAUAAAAUAAUAGAAAAUAACUGGUAAAAACUGGUAGAUCCUAAGGAGGUUAUAUUCCCCAUCCUUAUUUUACUAUUAUGGUCAGUACAGGUUGUUUAGCUGACUUUUUUACAAGUGCUCCUGAACUUGGCUUUUUUGGAUUGAUUUUUUUCCUUUGUUGAGUUUAUCCCAAAGGAUUAUGUAGGGUUUUCAUGGGAGGGAGAUGAGAAGGAAUUGCAAUUAUAAAUAUGUAUCUUCAAGGAAAAAAAAAAAAGAAAAAACACCUUUAAAAGUAAAUUAGUUUGUAGAAACAGCCUGGAGAUCUGAAGAGUUCAGUCUGAAGAGUUCUGGUCCCAGUUGCUUUUCCAGGAAUCGAUUUUUAUUUCACAAAUGCAAAAUAAAAUUAUUUCUUUGGGAGUGAGACAGGGAAUGGGGUUUUUUUUUUGGUUGUGGCGUGCGUGUGUGUGUAAGUGUAACUGCAAGAAUUAUUCAGUUGUGAAGAAGACUGAGAUGUUUAUGUGCUUGGUUAUUUUAGGUCCCCAUCCUACAGCGCCUAUGUAAUAGCAGUCCCCUGAGCUACUGCAGUUGCAGGCUUGAAGCGUUACAUGCAGCUAAUUGUAUAGGGACCUGAUCCUACACUGAAACGUUUUGGCACACAUCCUUGGGCAUGUGCACUGUUCUGGGUAAGCUGUUGUGGCUUGGCACCAGUGAAACAAUUGGUAAAGAUGGAUCUGAUUGUGGAUUCUCGUUUAUAAAGCAGCAAGGUUUGCCUUGAAAAUCUGAUAAGGCUUGUUACUUACAGAAGCUUGUAAAUCCUAUAGCCUGACAGAUUUAUAAAGAUGUUUCUCUAAGAAACAGAGAUAAUUACAUUCAGAACUUUUCUCUUUUCUCCCUAAAUCAUAAGGUUAAACAGUUGACAAUAAAAGGAGAUAAAUAAGAGUAUAGAUUAAAAAAUAGUACUGGUAAUCAGCUCAGUGGUGAAGUGAGGUCUUUUUCUAGUUAUCACUUGAAUAAUGUAACUUAUAACUUGCUGAGAAAGCUUUCCAAGCAAACUUUGCAAAAACUUUUUUUGCAGAAAAAUAGGCAUUUCAAGAAAAAGUAAUGCAGAUCUUACACUACUCCAUGUCAGGCAGGGUUUCAGAUAGGAACCAGGAUGAAGACGUGCCUUGAUGCUUCCUUGGCCUGUACCAGAGGCUUCUGUCUCCUUAGGGAUCUUGCAGACUUAAACAGAAUUAAUACUGGUCAGUUAUUGCUGCUGAUGUUCAGAACCUGUGGACAACAGUGAAAAGUAGAAAUAAUCAGGUGCUUUUCAGUGUGCUGUUGCUUAGGAAUGCUGUUAUCAGGGUGAACUCAGGCUCACCAAGAGGACUUUUGAUCAGGUUAUGGGAACUGUUAUGCCACUCUUUCCAACUGUCCUGUAAAGUAGUUCAACUGCCUGCUACUGCUUUGAGUUUGUAGGUAAGCAGGGUCCUUCCUACUGCAUUCCUAAUAUUUCAAAAUAUAGGACUGCUAUGGAAAUAAAAUGGAGAUGAAAGGAUUGUUGUCAACACUCACUUGCAUUGAAUUGCUGUUUCUUACAGCCCUGAUGUUUUUCUCUAGUGCUUUGUGAUGGUGUUGAGAGACUUGCAGUGGGCGUUGGAUCUGAAUCUGUUCUGGUGCUAGAUAAUAACAGUUCUUUUUCUCUGUAACCAAGGUCAGAAGGUGCCUUAGGUACACAUCUACAGUUAGAGCGAUUCUGGUUCAGUGUCUUGGUGCUCCAGAGCAGGGAAUGGGCUGAACCAAAUGGCUUCUGACAAGAUGUUGAUAUAUUGAUAUAAUAUAUAUGCAGAGUGAGGAUAGAUGACACUGGUGCCUGGGCUAUCUUUGCAAGAGAUUGUCUGGAUCUCACUUCUAGGGUGCACAGCAUGUCUUCUGCAGUCCUGAUGCCCUAUGGAAUUCCCUUUCUCCUGAGUUUUAUAUACAGGAGGAGUGCUUAAGGACAACUGUGAGAAAUGCCUUGAUACUGUCCAGACACAGUCAGUGCAUGGGCAGAACUCAAUCUGAGAGGGAAUCUCAGCCUAGGUGUUAUCGGAGAUUGUCACAGACACUUCUGAACUUGGAUUUGUAAAUUAAUUCUCUGGCUACUACUAGGACUUUAAAAGUAGGGGGAAAUGGGGGAGGAAUAUCAAAGCUAUAGGAGACAAACACAGGCUUCUGAGGUCAUAAUUUUUUUUGUCUGAGAGCACAACAUUUCUGUCCCUCAGGUGCGAUGUGUGGACUUGAUGCACUGCCUGAUGUUUUGUUGUUGCUUCAAUCUUUAACAAAAUAUGUUAUGCUUAUGGAUGAAAGGGGGCGUUUGUGCUGUAUUUCCCUUGGCCAUGGGUCUGUAAUCAUUGAUCUUCAGUUUAUUUAUGAGCUAUUGGGGCCUUUAAUAAGGACAGUCUGCUUAUAAUGUUAGAAAGCACUGUUCCUCUCCUGAGUCUGACAGGUUUUUUUCUCAUUACCAAAGGGAGUCCCAAGAAGUUCAGUUUACUACAGCUGUGUCAACGGUUUAUGGGCCGCUCCGGCCCAGUUUUGUGACUAAUGGUGUGGAGGGACCCACAGACCUAUGCCUCAGGAAAGGGGGAAAAGGGUAAGGAGAUGGACCUGAAAACAAAAGAGCAGCAACAAUCUGAGGAGAAACAAACAAAUUUACUAAAUAAGACAUCAGAAUGCAAAACAACACACUAUAAUACAGUAUAAUACAAUAUAAUUAGAAUAAGCUAAUAAAUCAAAUCAAAUGAGAGAGAGUGUUGAAAAACCAAAGGCCUUACUCUAGUGCUGAAGGUGAGAUGUCUAGCUGGGAUGAACAGAAGGGCAAAAGAGCCCAUCUAAUAAUCUGUGAGCAGUUUUAUCUUUCCCUCUGGAUGGGAAAUGGAAACAGAACAACACAAAGUCCUCUGGGCUGUGUAGUAUGUAGUUCUUCUCUUCUGAGAACUGGGUACCCAGAACUAAUCACAAUCCAUGGAACUGGAGUAUUAACUCUUUAACUCCCACUGCACUACAUGAUGUUAUGAUGUGGAAUAUCAAUAACCAAAAAUUGUAAAACCAUGACAAGCUGGCAACAAAUACAUGACGUGGUAAAUCUCCACUGGGUUCGGUGAAGGUAUCUUAGUGGGAUGUGGGUCAGGGAAAUGCUCUUCAAAUGUUCUGUACGUCUGUGACAAAUCAUUGAGCUCUGAGAAUAAUAAAAAAAAAAAAGCAGGUUAAUUUGGGUUCUUGAUCAGGUUCAUGGAUUUGCAUCAUGUGCUUCCCUGUACAUCUUAAUUUUGGGGAUCUGGGGAGCAGCAGAUAUUUCUCUUAAGUAGAGAGCCUUGCUCUUGCUCUUCACAAUAGUUCCUGUAGUCUUUUGUGCUGCCUCUAAGUAGGUGUUAUGGGUUACCUGUCUUGAGUGGCAGUAGGCAAAGUGUAAGAUGUGAAUGUGGAGAUCAAAGGAUCUUCACCUGCUUUUUCCCAUGUUGAUAAAGUUCUCCCAUUCCAGCUCUUAUUCCUCUUGGGAGAAUUUCAGUAGUUCAUUAAGUCCUCUGCAUGUGCUAGAGGUGAAGGGGAACGAGGAGGGGAGAAACACUAAUUAGAAGCUCAAGUUGCAGCUAUAAAGUGAUCACACGGAACUGGAUCUUUUGGGAGAACUUGACAUGUGUCUUUGCUGUAUUAAAAGCUGAACAAAUACAGAAUUCCUUACAAGAAUAGGAUUACCGUGUUUCAGAAAUGCACCUAACUGCAAGGAUUUUCAGCCUAAAAUUUGUAUUAUUUCUAUGUGGAAUCUCUUUCAUACACAUGAAAUUUACUGCUAGUGACAAUUACUUGAUCGUAGUGUCCUUUUAAACUUAGAUGCAUCAGCAAAGAGCCUAUCCAAAACUUAGGAUUCUUGACAGAUAUUUAAAUAUUUAAAACACCCUCCAUAUGAUUACUAAAUCCAGCCCUUCAGCUAUGUAAACAAUGCUAGGAAUAAUGAACCAGAAAAUAUUCAAAAUAGCACAUUCUGUGAAUAUUUCUCUUUCAUUUUAACACUCACCAUGAUGAAACACAAGGAAACCAAUUCCUGAAUGUUUAUUUGUUGGUUGUUUCUUUCUUUUUUUUUUUUUUACCAACUGACUGCUGAAACAAGCUUUCAGGGAAAUCCACGGAGCCCCACAAGGUGGCAGGAGCUAACUGUACUACAUGUGAGCUGUGAUCUGGAGGAGCGUAAAGGUAACAAAUUGAUUUCACCAGUUGUGCACAUUUGGAUCAUGAGCAAAUUAAGCAGACUUCAAAAACCCACCUUGUGCUUCUGAGUAGUUUAGGCAAAUUGAUGAGAUUCCUAGCCUCAAGAAUGUUCCUUCCAAAAACAAAAAGGUUAUGCAUUCUUACUACAUCAACACAAAGGGGCCUUCACGUUCAUUCAGUGCUAUUUCCUUGCUUGUAAUAUCACAUCAUUGCUGUGAAGGGAAAGUGGGCUUGAAGCCCUUCAGCAACUCACAGCCAUAUGAGGUUCACAGUUUAACAAGUUGGCAGAAAGCAUCUCUUAGUUGCAAACUCAUCUUGACAUCGUGGGAACGCUGAUCGUGAGGACAGGAACAGCAUCUGGAACUGUACAAGUGAAAGAAUUUCUGCUGCUUUAAUGAGACAAUAGAGGUGUUUUUCUUUGGAAACCAAAGUAUCAAACCAGCAUUAAAAAUAUCCAAGUGUGGGGAUUUUUGGAAGUCAUGAAAGCAGCUCAUGCUAAUUAGUGGGGUUGCUGGCCAGUAUGUAGUGCAUAAGGCUGAAAUGCAGUGGAUUUGUUCCCUCCCUUCCUACUAUCCCAAUCCACUGGUGUUCCUGUUUCACUUUUUCUUUGGUUUCAGUUUACCUGCUGGUGUUCUGUUUGCUCUUGAAACAUUUCUGUGAUGAGGAUGUGAGAAGCACCAUGAAAUAAAGGAGUUAAUCAAGUAUUCUCAUCAAAGUUGUGAUUUGUGGGGCCUGUGGUUAUAUACUCAUACUUGCUCUUCCUUAUCCUUGCACUUUGAGUUCUAGGUCUCUCACUGUUGCGUGAUCUCUUUUGGUAUGCCUUAGAAGAUGGAUUUCUGUGGACUUUCAUGAUUGUAGUUGGCAGAAGGGACAGUGAACAAUGCAGUUAAGAAGAAAAGCUACUGCCCCUGACUUAGUGGACAACAGAGGACUUGGCUAGAGACUUAUGAAUCUCUUGAUUUGUGUUAGGACAUUUUCUUUUACAUCAGCGUCUACUUUUUUUUUUAAUGAAGUUGUUUUUUGUGUAUCAGCUAAGUGUCUUUGGUUAUUUGGACAACCUCAUUUAUGUGUAUGUGCAAUUCAGUAGGGCUAAGGCAGAAGAGGGAUUAGGUAGUUUUCUUAACCAUUAGACAGAUACUAAGAGUAGAAGUAGUUCACCUCUUAUACGAAAUCUCAGUUUCUCCCUUCUCAGUAAAUUUCUUGUUUCUAUACUGUAGGAAAAAAGAAUGUAAGCAUUUGUGAUGGAUGUAUCUGGAAUAGGCACCUGAGGUGAACUGAGUGAAUAUUUUUACAAGCUUGUGUGUGAAAUUAUGUUGUUUUUUUAUUUUUUUUGAACAGUGUCAGAAGCCAAUUAAGUUAAGAACCUUUAAAACCAGUCCUGGAGCAAUUUUUUUUCACCAAGAUGUAGUAAAACGGUCCAGUAAAAUAUCUACGCUUUGCUUGAAUGGUAGGGAUGCAGGAACGUAGAGAAGGAUGUUCCCUGCAACUCUUUUAAGAGGCAGCAUAUAUCAUUGUCUCACCAAAAUACAAGCCUGAGUAAUUCUAGUGGAUGCAUUCAGAUAUUUGUUAUUUUAAAGUGAGAACUGUGCAGUUUCCAAUGUCUGUGCUCCUCACCUGCCUUAAGUUUGAAAAGAAUUUUAGUUCUCACAUAAACAUCCCAAAAUAAUGAUUAGGUAAGUAAAAAAAAAAAAAGAAAAAAUUAAGCAAAUAUUCAGUUAUUUGAUGAACUCAGUACUGAAAUCUGUUAUGAGCAGUUAAAAAGUGUACAAUUUGCACAGUUACAUGCCAGUAAGAUUGGGCUGACUGUCAGCUGUGAAUUAUUAAGCAGUUACAGCUUACUGAAACAAACUUAGCUGUAUUUGACCAAAAAGUUCAAAACCAAAUAAUGACAUGUCAGUGAGAUGCCUUGUUCCUAUAAAGACAGUGGGAAGCAACACUUCACUUCUGCUGACUUGAAAUACUGACGGGGGAAAAAACCACGUGCAUUUAUGUCCAUAUAAUGGAAGAAAGCAGUUUUAAAAUAAAAGAUCGUGUGCUGUCAAGGUGUUGCUAUACAGUAAGAUUUUAAAGUGUUGCUUCUCUAUACCACAACCCUGUGAACCUUGUUGGGCUUGGCAGAGCGUGUUUUUCCACUGCGUGUUCAGGGUGUAUGGCAAGGUAAAGUUUGAUAGUUACUGUUCCUUACUGACAAAGAGUUGGUGGUUGUGGCAGCAUCGGGGUUGGAAAGAGCAACUGUAAUUUGGUCACAGCCAGUACAGAGAGAGACUUCAGGGUGUAUAGCAACAUCUUAGUGGCCAGAACGGUAGCUUCCUAUGGAAUAGUAGGAGUUGGAUGGUGUUUCUCAGCUGUGAUUUAAAAAAAAAUAGUUAAAAUCAUUGGAGACUUCUGCUUGGUGGUGUACUUAAAACUGUUACAUUAAACUGGGUGGCCUCACAAAGACUACGGAACAGUUUGGCAACCGAUCCUAUUGCUGUGUGGUGAUUAACUGGAAGUUAAUCACAAUAUUACUAGGGGAAAUAGGGAUGAGGGGUGGAGGAGACUUCACAGGAUAUGUGCCUCUCCAGAAUAAAUAUAUGUUUCCAGGAAACCUGGGGUCUUCUCUCCAUAUCUGCCAAACUCUGUCUUUAAUGUCUCAACUGUUUUGUUGAUCUUAGUUAAUUCAGGGACAAUUGAAGCCGUCCCAUCCACUAGAUCCCCUACUGAGGUGCUGAGUGCUUUCUCUUCUCCAUGAACUCCUUGGGAAUGCAGCACAUCACUGGCCUCUGUUAAAUACCCAACACAACUAAGGAGUCCAGCCAGGGAAAAACUGGCAAAUAUACUGCCUAUUUACUAACAAGGAUAAGAAUUCUCUCUAGCCAUCCCAAGUGUGUUUUAUAGUUGGAUUUGAGGAAUUUUGACUGGUAGGGAGCUGGCUGUGCAGUACUCAAGGUCUUUUCAAAAAGUCAAGGAAAUCUUUGCUACCAACUUCUUAAAAGCAACUUCUUCAACGGUAGGAUUUUUAAGUCCAUCCUGGCAUAAUAUCAGACCCUAAGGAUAUGUCUACAUUGCAGACUGCUGUGUUUUGUCGUUGCCUGAGUGUGCUUUUAAAUAAGGUAGAACAAGAAUCAGAAAUGGUUUGGCAGUGAUAGCAUGGAGCUGUGUACUCAGUAAUUUAACUUGUAUUGAGUAAGGGUGAAUUAGUGCAUAUGGAGUGCUGGGCUGCUGCAGCUGGUUCUCCUUGUACUGGGCUGGUUGGUUUAAAUUAGAUUUAGGUGCCCAGGAGUUCAGGGCUGCUGCAGUUGGGGCCAUAUGCAAGGAGAACAUGUCAUGGACAUCCCUUUAAGGAAGCAAAGUCUGGUUAGGCAGCAUUAAUAGCUUUUCCUUCACUAGCAGGUUGCAAAUCCUGUUUAUGGAUAUCUUUUAUAGCACCGGGUAUUGAAAACAGUACUUUCCCUUGGGAAAUUAUUAUUCAAUGAACUUGGUAUUUGUUUUGAUAUUCAGAUUUGUCGUGGUUGUUGAAAGUGCCAACUUGGUGAUGACCUCUAUCAGAGGGCCUGUUCUGGGGUUUUAUAGGAGUGAGGGAGGCAUGGAAGGACCACUAUACCACUGUUUGGUUCUUACUACCCUGCACUCUCACCUUUCCUUACAGAUGUACUAACUAGAAACUGAAGUCCUUAAAGUGUGUGAAAUAUUUUAGGAAUAGAAGUAAGUCAAUGUUGCAGCCAAGCUGCCUGUAUUUAUCUCAGCCAUCUAGGCCUUCCCAGUCACUGUAGUGUCUGGGAGGUGUUACCAUUUGCUUAUACAGAUCAUGCUGAUCUUUCAGCACAUUGAAGGAAGUCAGGUACAUCUACACAACAAGAAGCUGUCUAUGUGGUAACUGGUUAGUGCUCCUGUGCUUGGGCCAGGCAUGGCAUUCCUGCACCAGCAUCGUCCUCCAGGACUGUGCAUAGCAUUCUCCUCUUUCCAAUCUCUUAUAGAAGAAAAGUGGAGUUUUUGUGUGAAUGGCCAUUAUUAUUAAACUGUAUUCAGCUUCAGGAGUGUGGGACAGGUGCAGGAAUAGGAGAAUUUACAUCACUGGAAAGCUGCUAUUUUACCCUAACAACUUAAGCGUGUGUUGCUUUCCUGCAUAGAUCAAGGAUGUAGAUUGGAUCUGUAAGGCAUUACAUCUCUUGGUAUCAGGUGGCCUGGCUUAAAUUAGUGGUUUUUCUUCUUGCCAAUCAAAACAAAGGAAAGUGUGAAUAAGGAAAAGGCCAAUAUAUGGAUACAGCUACUGUGCUUAAGUUACAUAGGCUGGCAGCUAAUGUUCAGGUUGGUAUCUGUGCUCCUUGUGUUCAUGCUGGAGAGAUGAGAAGAGACCUGGCUGUUCUGUGAUGUCCCACAGGUGUGUUUUAGACUCGAGUGCAGGAAAACAGUGAUUUUCUUUGAUGAAGAUGUUUGCUGUAUUUAGGUGUGCGUCAGGACUUUUCGUAGUGUAUUGACUUUUGAUGGCUGAAAUACAAGAGAUGCUUUUGUUUUUAAAAAAAAGUUGGUUUUGCAGAGCUUUUUUACAUGUUUGAAAUAAGACGUCAGUUUUGAAUGAUGGUAAUCUGCUUUGUGUUUUUAUAUAGUAAUGCUAACUGUUGCAUAAUAGAAGAUUUUUUUAAACUUUAUAUUCCCACAGAAACACUGGGGAGAUAACCGCAGACCAGAGAAUAGUGCUUUUUUUUUUAAUAUUAUUUUUUGAUUGAGUGAGAAAAGUGACUCAGUAUGCUGAUGAAAUGCAGAGAAACUUGUAAUUAAAGAAGAACAAGUGGUAGCCUCUGAUUCACAAGUCUGGAUUUGGUGUCAGGUCUCUGGAUAUGAGUGGACAUUAUCAGGAGAGAUACUAAAGCAAAUGCCUGCUCUAGUGCAUGAAGCUGUAAGCAGCAUUUAUUACUGUGUUGCUUUUAAAGGGAGCUCGCUAUUAGCCAAGGCUAAUUAAUGGCUUUGCAGGAGCACCUGGAGUUCAGUUUGUUCAUGAUGAUCGUGAGGAAGUUGCGGUUGGUGAAAGCAGAAGAGCAGCUGAAGGCUACUCACCUCAUCGUGAGAGAUGAUCAUCUUGUCAGUCCACUGUGGUGGAUGGCCAAUGGCCAUGGCCAGGCUGGCCAUCACCACAGGAGUUCUGUCACAAAGAGGAUGCUUGUGCUGCCCUCAGAGCUGUGAGGGGGCCAGUGCCAGGACCAAGGGUGCCCCAGGCCAGGAGGCAAGGCUGCAUGGGGAGAAACAGUUUUAUGUUAAAGUACUGGGUGGAUGUCUCCAGGCUGGGAUGGUAUUGCUUUUGGUGAAACUAAGUGUGAAUGGUCUCCCCACCAGUUGAGCUGUCCAGCUUGCCAUCCCAGGCAGUGAGUUAAUGGAAGAAAAUGUUGCCCUGAUGUGCUGAGGCAAGAUGCUGGCCCACCUGUAGGUGCCUGACCUGGCUUCUAUGCUCCCUAAUUUCUUCCUGUGCCUAAAGGCAACUGUAAGGUUUCUGUCAGAUUUGAGAGCAACGGAUUGUAGAUUAUGGCCCUACGUGAAGCUAGGUUUCAGGAUUUUGGCAAAUGCAGUACUGGUGGGACCAACCUCCAGAAAAUCUGAUUUCCCAUAGCUCUGGAAGUCUUGUGUUGCACUUGAUCACUGUCUUAAUAAUUCACACUCAAAUAUGUGCCAAAUUCAGGCAAGCCAAUACCGUAAGGUGAAAAGAAGCACAGUGUAUGUGUCUGGCAUACAGGACGCAGGCUGCACAGCAGUGGUAUUCCAGCAUUUCAUUUAAGUAACUUAGAUUUGAAAGAUUUGUUUUAAAAUGUAUGAAGAUUUAAAUUCAAUGACACAGUGAAUGAAAUGUGAAGCUGAUGGAGGUUUUUACUCUAAAGAUUACAAUAUUUAGCCCGAUCAUUAAAGGAUUCUGUGAAAACAACUAAACAUACUCCAAAGGAAGUCAUUCACACAAGUAGUUGUGUGUAGUGGCUGUUUCUAAUUGGUCUUGAUGCUUUAUCACAGUUAGCUUUCCAUUUAGGAGGAAAGAUAGGAAGCCUCAAACUUAAUUCAAGUUAGUGAAGUGAAAUAGCUUUCUCUGCGACUGCUGUUUGAAUCUCUGUAUCUCUUUUAAGAAUAUGCUUAGAGAAUUGCAACAGCAUACCUUGGACAGAAAGCAGAUUUUGUUUUUGUUUUUAAAAAAACGUGUAAGUAUGUCUUUCUAAUGAACAGUUUCUGAUUGGAGAUCUCAAAGGUGCAGAAGAUGCUACUAAUGCAGUUUUUUCCUCAAAAGUCUAUUUUGCAUUUUAAUCUCAUAAAGAACGGCUUUUUAUUUACUUAACUAUUUAGAAAGCAAUACAAGACAAAACCCUCUUAAUUAUAAGGAACUUUCAUAUUGGAAUUGUGGGGUUUUUUACUGCAGAUAAUACAUGCUCUUACAUUGUGAGGAGCAAACUUCUGCGUCACUACAGUUCCCCAGAUCAUUGUAAUAAAGGUGAAAAGGGCCCAGAUGUGUUAGAAUUUGGUUUUCCCAUGUUGUGCAGAGUAUCCUGAUGCCUUCUGCACAGCAGAGAGGAGUGGGGAUCUCUCUUCUUGAAAUAACGAUGGUAGAAAAAAGAGAGCAUGCUGCUGGUGGUAUGAUUUUGGGCUUCAGUAUUUAAUGCAUUAUGUAUAUGUGAUAUUUGCACCUGAAGCUGUUCUGACACUUGUGAGUGUGUGUAGCAUGUAAUGGAGAAGAGGUUUCCUGGUGAUGCAGCCCUGCUGUUGCAUGCAUGCUGUCGGUAUACUACAUAGCUUAGAAGGCUUUUGUGUGUGCAUGUGCAUAUGUGAAAAUACAUGAUAAAACUUCCAAACGGAGCUAAGUUUCAGGAGUCAUUAAGCUGGUAAUUCUGCUGUUUCUGAAUAAACAAGUUGUUGACGGUGUUGUUUGGGAUGUUUUAUGAAUGCAGCUGAAUUUGUUGUCUGUUUAGUGUUAUAUGAACCGUGCAGUAUUGCAGUAAGUAUUGGACUGGGAAAUUGUAACCAUUUCAAAUUGAGUAGUGAGUUUGUUUAGAAUUAGUGAUUAAUAUUGUAUUUGUUCAUGAUACUGGGAUAAAAUAUGGAGCUUCAGUGGAGAUCAUAAUUUCUUGAUAUUACUGCAAACUCUGUAUGUGUACGUGAACACAACUCUCAUGUGAAUUUUAUAGGAGGCGAGAUUAACUCCUAUUGCAAACAUGAUUGAUCAGAGAAUUAUAAGACACUUGUGCUUCUUAACUGGUGGUCACUUCCAGGUUGUGUUUUUAUGCAUUUUAUACAUACACUCUUAAUGUUUGUUUGUCCCUCUUUGCUGUUAUAUUUCCUUCCUGGUUAGCAGGAGAAGGCUUUCAGCCAUACGAGAUCCAUCAGUUUUAUACUUUCCCUUUUGCAUCUUCUUUUCUCGGGUCUUCCCCAUCUUCAUGUCAAAGUAAUUUCAGUGCCCAUAAAGUAGCAGAAUAACAGGCCGUGGGAAGCCAUCUUUUCAGCUCAGGAGAAGUAUUGGUGGAACAAGUGAACUUGUGACCAAACUGCCUCUAUGUUACUGCUUUUUUAUUUUAUUUAUUGGUUAACAAACACAGAGGUAACUUGGUGCCUAAUCUUUACCUGCCUUUAAUUUAGGAGUGGAAAAUCGAAAUGAGAGCUGAGAAAUAGUCAAAUGCAAGUGAAUUUUGACAACUGUCAUUCAAGCAAUAUAAACCUUUAAGUUAAUAGUGGAAUCAUACGGAACAACUACUUGUUUGAGGGUAUAUGAGUUUCUAAGUGCACAUGAGUUGAAUGCACAGGAGCACAUACAACUUGUAGGUGCUUGCUACUUCCUACAUCAUGCCUUCUUUCUCAGGUGGGUUUUUAUUCUGACUAGUAUGUACAGGAUAUGUAUAUAAUCCCUUUCAAUGACCAUUUACAAGCUUUCAAAAUCCUGUGUUCUCCCUGCAAGAAAAGAAAUGGACACAAUUUAAGAUAGUAAGUUUUCAAAUUUUUAUCACUCUGAAAACACUGGAGAAAAAAAAAUCCAUUAAAUAUAUAACAGGCUUAAAUUCUUUUAUGAGGCAUCCAGCACUGGACUAGUGUUCUUAAUUACUUUUACAGACUCCAUAGAAAAUAAUAACUACAGCAUAAUAAUUGCUGAUCUAAUGCUAUAUCUGAAGGAAGAGACCUCUGGAUGGGAUAAUAAUACUAGCCAGAAAAGACAAUGACAGAAGUCAAAGUGUUUGGUAGUGUUAAGCACAAACUGUUUAACUUUGAGAUGGCCUUUACAGUCCUGGUCCUGAAAUGCUGCAAGUGGUGAACUUUGAUUUAAGAAGUAUUUGUUAUUUUGAUGACCUCAGCCAAGGCAAUCUGGGAUGGGCAAAGAUGCAGAGAAAUAAUUAUUUGGAAGCACGAGCAGAUGUUGCUCUAGCUUCUCAAGGAAAUUUCUUAUGUAAAAAGACACUUGAAAAGCAAAAUGGAGCUUUCUGUAUUGAAAACAAUGUAAUACUUCAGUUGGUGUUUCUCCAGCUUUUUUUGUUGUAUGACCUGUUGUCUUAGGGAUAAGGCCCUGUCAGUAGUAAAAGCCUGAGUUGUAUUAAUAGAGGUGGGUCUUCCAGGACACUUAAAAAAUGGUUUGCAAAACAAGCAAUAGCAAGUUGCUUAUGAACACAGACAAGAGGCUCUGGGGAGACCUCAUUGUGUCCUUCCUGUAGUUGAAGGGAGCAUAUAAACAGGAGGGGGCACGGCUGUUUAUGAGGGUGGAUAGUGAUAGGACAAGGGGGAAUGGUUCUAAAUUGAGACAGGGGAGGUUUAGGUUAGAUAUUAGGAAAAACUUCCUCCUAAAAAAAACCCCAAAACUGCUGGGAAACUUGCUGAAAAAGUGCUGGAAUAUUUAAAUAGCUGCUGUUAGUACUGAUACCUGGUUUUCAGAUGGCAGUGGUGCUAAUUUCACUGGUUUAUUGAGAAAUCCUUUGAAGUCAUUCAUAAUCUCAUUCUGGCUCCAUCCCAACAUAGCAUUUCCAGGUCAUUUGCUACUAAACAAUCUGUUUAUGGGCUGUGCCAGUGCAUCUUGCUGGACAAGAUGACUCACACUUGUGCAGUGAGGAGCAGAACGAAGUUUCUGACAAAGCUUGUUUCCCCAGCUGGGACUUCAGCAGCAGCUCCACAUACGGUAGUUCUGGAGGCCUCUGAGGAACUCCAAGUCAGCAGCCAGCAGUCUUUCUCAAACUCGGUCGCUGUGGCAGCAGGUGAAAGUUGUCCGUGUAGUUUCCAGGCAGAUGGACAGUAUGCAGCAGGGCUCUUGCAGCCUGAGAUGGGCUGCUGCAGGUCCUGUGUGGAAGUGGAGUCCUGACAGCAACUGGGUGAUGCGUGUUCUGAACUCUGAAAUCCUUUUUGUUUCUUUCCCUCUCAAAUGAAAAGCAAAGCAAACUUCAAAUGUGGUACUUGAUACUUAUUUGAAUAUAAUGGGCAUCACGUGUGUGAUUGACAGGGUAUCUGAAUUCAUCUCACAGUAGAUUUGUGUAUCAAAUGCUUUGUUUCAAGUUGGCAGAAAUCUGUAAUGUCUCAGUUUCAAAUGUAACGUAGGGUAAGUCCCAUAGAUGUGGGUGCACAAACAUAAUAAGCGUUAUUCAUUAAAAAUAAUAAUAGUUCAAGAUAAAUAACUUUUUUGGUGUACGAGAAUUCUGCAGUUGUCCUUGGCAUUCUGUUGACUGGACUUACUGCUAGAAUGGUUAAUAAGUACUGAAUGCAGUAUUUAUGUUGUUAUUGUAUUUUUUCACAACUGCUGAAUCUUAUUCUUAAGGCCUUACAGAUCUGCCAGUAGAAGAGUUAACAAUGUAGUCACUGUUAUGGGAGAAACAACUACACUUACAGUUAUACUGUGUUGAAGACUCAGAGUGCCUUUUGUUUUGUUUUUCCUCACAGACGUGGCAGAUCAGGCAUAGUGAGGAAACGCAACUGAAAGCUUGAACAACUGUCUUGAUUCCCCUUUCUCUUAUAUGUGUGUAAGGACUGUUACUGCAGGUUUGAAUGUUUUUUUUUUUUUAGAAAGCACAAAAGCUGGCAGUCUCCUUUUUUUUGUUCCUUGACAGUCUUAAAAGACAUUUCUGGUAAAAAUGUUUAAGUAAUAGCUAGAUAUCUGUGACCUUCCCCCCCCAGCCCCCUCCUCCACCUCUGCAAAAACUGUUUAAGUUCACCACACUGAUAAGGUCUAUAGUUGAACGAUGGCAUAGCUUUGGGGAAUGAAGGAGUAUGCCAUGCUGUUCAGCAAAUACAGUCUGCAAACACAGGUUAAUGGUUAACUACGCUUAAGUCUGGAAACCAUCAUAUAGUAAUUACAGCUAAUUAUGAGACGAUACAAGUGCAUUGACAUUUGGUGUCCUGGGAACACACUGUACCUUCAAAACGUGCUGCUGGGAAAAGGAUUCAAAUACUACUGUGCCUUCUUAGGACAGAAAUACCAUUCUUCAGAAUAAAAUAAAUGAUCUUAUAGCAACGCCUGGCAUAAGCACGCAAGCCUAUCUGCUUUAGUGAAAGUUUGAUGUAAGUAACUCUAAAGAAAGAUUAGUCUAUUACCACUUUAAGGGGGAGCAUCUUGUCCAGAUGUACAAUAAAUUCUUGCUUCUGUUUGGCUGAGCAGCAAUGUAUAGAGCAAAGACAGUUUCUUGUGAUGUACUUUCAAGCUCUUCAGGAGCUUGUCCCUAGCAUACUCUGUUUUGGCUUCUGUGUAUGUGUUGAGUAUGUGCCACAGUGCAAAUGUAUCAAGUGUGUUGUGCUUCCCUAUGACUCCCCUUCUUGGUAGCCUCUGUGAAAUCAGAAUUUUUAUAGCCAGUUUUUCCUGCCUUUCUGCCUUCAAAUGAGAGGCUGUGGCAGAAGGAAGAACUGGCUUCCCAAUAUCUUCUUUGCAGGACUAAAUGAAUCUGUUCUUUAUCCCAUUGUAUUUAUCCUUUUCAUUACAUAUAUUGUACCUUCUGCUGAAAGUCAGGUUCUGCAAAUGAAUCUCAGCUCUUAUGGCUAGCUUUUCUGCACAGUUCAUCUCACCAGCAUUUCACAAGGUCAACAGGAGCAGAGCAACAAGUGAGGGCUCAAAGGCCGUGGCUCUUAAAGCUUCAUCUUGAGAACACUUACAUUUAGGCACAACUUUUCCACUGAACGUCCCCUUUGUUGACCUCAGAGAUUACUUGGAUUCUUGCAACUGAGCACAAAUGUAAAUGCUUACAAGUUGGCUAGUACAGAACUGGGAGGUGAGCUAGAAACAUAGCUAUGGAGUGUAGAGCUUAUUUUCCUGCUCCCGGGCUAUGGACUGGCCAGCUGGAUGGUUUGACUGGCCUCAUCUACUACCCUAAGAAGAUAGGUGUCUUUUGAGGUCCCCUGGAAUGUCUUCUGGGCCAAGGGAGCUGCUCAGGUGGCAGUCAAGGCCUCAUUUGGGCCACAGAAUCUAUCCCGAGUAGCACGUGGAAAUCAAGGCCUGGUUUAGGCCUUGGAAUCCAUCCAGAAUAGCUUAACUUUGUGUCAUAGUGUGGGAAUCUUUACAGAAAAGGCAACGCUGCAGUCAAGACACUGCUUCAUAGUUCAAGAAGUAGUAUUUCUUGCACUUAUUAAAAGCACAGUAGUUAGUGUCAUCCAGCCACUGCAUCAGUCUCGCAGGUCAAUUGUGUUUAUACUGAUUAGUUUCUGGGGAUGCUCAGUGCGUUCAUGAUCAUGGUAAGGAGGAUAUGCAGGACUGAUGGAUGACAGCGGUUCAGUUGAUCUGUGUGUGGUGUGUACUGGAGAAUAAAAACAUAGUCUUGAGCGUGCUUAGGUUGCUUCAGUUCUGUCGGCCUUCGAUUUGGUUAAUCAUAGAAUCAUAGAAUUACUCAGGUUGGAAAGAACCUCAAAGAUCAUUAAGUCCUUUAAUAGCAUGGUUUAAGAAACAGCUCUGCGGUAUCUGUAAAUGCCUUUUAGGAGCAGGGAUGAAAGUACUCGUAUUGAUGUUUUCUGUGAUAGUAGGCAUUUGGAGUACCUGGCUUCUCACAAGCAAAGCUUCUCUUGAUUUACAGUGAGUUUAUGCUUCAAUCCCAGCACACCUGUUUUUUGUUGUACUCAAAUGUACAUGGGGGCUGCCUUGAAAGCUGAGGUAUUAUCUGAGUUAUAUUGUCUGCAUUGACCUAAAGAGAAAGGAAAUGGUUGAAAAUGUAGCUGAAGGUGCAUUUGGAUUAAAACACUCAGAGAUCAUGGAGCAUAGGGAAUCAAUAGAUUUGUAGCAAGUUUCUGUGGUCUUUGCAUGAAACUUAGUGCCGUGAAGUAGUUUUAAUUCAGUACUGUUCAGAUAAAACGGGAAGAACAACUAGGAUUUUUUUUUUUUUUUUUAACCUUGGGGAAAAAAAGGCUUUGUUAUAAAUCUGUUGUCUUUUAAAAUAGAUCUUUGUGGUUUGUGGUCAUGCUUGGAAUAUCUUUAUUUCCUUAAUUAAAAUGCCUCUCAUUUUGAGACUAAAUUGGACUGGAGGGAGAUUGUGAAAAAGGCAGUCUUGCUGAGAUUCCCUACUUUCCUUGAAAUUAGUUUGUAUGAGAAAUCAAAUUCAGGUGCUAUUCUUCAGUAAAGCCCAUUGGCUCUGUCAGGGUUAUACUGUUGCAUGUUUGGAAAAGGAUAAUUUUCUUUUCCUGCCAUUUACCUUGAUUAUAACUCUUCUAUACAUAGGUUUCUCCUGCUGCUCUAUGUGCAUAGCUACUGAUUUUAAAAGAAAGCUUGAUGUACGGUAUGCAUGCUGUCUUUUAAACAUACACAACAAUAUGGAUAAAUGUAUAACACAGGGAAAACAAGUUCCAGACUCUCAAAGUGCCUAGCAUUCAAGUUUUUCAUGUGUUAUUUUGUUUUUUUUUUGUUUUUCCUACUGUAUGGCUGCUGUCAGAUGGCUGUCCAAUAAGACUGGAGGGUAACUUUUAAGGCAAAGUUUCAAAGAUUAUAUUUAUUUGUACACACAUGGAGAUAGGAGACUAGAAAGCUCUUGAUUGAUACUGGAACAAUAUGUCAGGGCAAAAUAUUUUCUUAAAGCUAAAUUGCAGGUGUGUGUAUAUAUAUAUUUACUAUCUGGGCCUAUCAUUUAGACUAUCUUUUAUAAUUUGGUUGAUCAUAAGGGAUGAAAUUAGAAGCAGUCAGUCUAGCUAAUUUUUAAAACUGACAGCUUCAAUAUAGGAAAAAUGUAUUUCAGUAUCAAAGAGUAUUUUGCUGCAUUACAUUUUGUUGAAUGAGUGUAAUUCUACUCUUUUUUUUUUUGGAUCCUUUCUUUUUUGUCAUGUGUUGUCAUUCAGUAUCUAGUAGUAUUCUGUAGAAUUAAGAAAAAAUAAGUCACUUAUUUGUGCUCACUGUACUGCUCUUCAGUCUUUCUUAAGAGACCUCUAAUUUUUUAAUGCUGAAUUCUGUCAGUUGACUUCAGAGCAAAACAAUGGUGCAGAUUUUAUCAUUGAUUUUCUUUAUUUCUUUCUGUUAUGAGGACAUAUUCACUCUUUUCCAAUUUAUUUUAGGUGUUAAAAGAGAACUGAAUAGGGAUAAGGAUCCUGUUGAGCUGAACAUGACACAGAUGAGCCUCUAAAGAUGGAUUGUCCUCCCAAGCACUAGUUGUUUGCAUUUGUGGUUAUUUUGGCUUAUUAAACGUCUCAGUAGUUAUUACAGACAUAGAAAUUUUGCAGCAGUUCUGCAUACCUGUCAUUCUAGCAAAGCACGUCUACAAAACUAGGAAUUAGUCUCAAGAGUUUCUAGCUUGUAGACUUACUUGGGAAGAAUGCCAGAAAGAGAUGAAAUGAACACCUAAGGAAUUGCAUUAAAUUCAACUUUAUCAAACUAAAAAAGGUUCUUGGGUUGUAGGUUGCUUGUAGGAUUUCUCUGACAAAUAGGCUGAGCGCAGAAGCUCAAGGAAUGAUAGGAAUUUUCUUUGUCCUCUGGUAAACUCAGCUUGGGAUGUCAAAGUUAAUUGGGUGAUUCUUGGGGUUAAAAGUGAGUCUUGGGCCUGAUUCUGCCUCUGCUGUCCUUUUAUGCUGGGGUGGGAAAAAAGGAAAUGGGUCACAUGCAUGGAAACUGGACUUGUAGACGGAACCUGGUGGGUAGGUUUGGUGACACAGAGCUGGAGUUACCAUCUGUUCGCUUACGUUUCUGUCAGCUCUGCUAUGGUAAUGGAGCUGAUAAAACUCCUGUUGUUAACCUCUCGUCAGUGCUCCCUUUAUCUGUCGAGUCAGAAAAUGAUAGUUUUCUGUAGCUACUUUUAGGAGUGUGUAUUUAGAGAAAGCACAUUUACUCCUAAUGCAAUUUCAUGCAUUUCUACUUUAUCCAUUUUGUAUACUGAAGUUUUAAUUUGGGACAGCCCCAUUCAAAUACACGUAUUUAAGGAAAUCCAGAUGAGAAUUUGAAAUGAGUAUUGUUCAGAGUAAUAACGUAGUGUGAGCGUUUGACUGUGGCAACAUUGAAAUAUCCCUGCUUAGUACCAUUGGCAGAAUUAAUGAGCUAUCAGUGCACUGCUUUGUAUAACACACAGGUUGCAGGUGCAUGUGAGAAGACCAAACAAUUUAGGUAGAAAAAAAAUGUUCUGUAGAAGUGUAACAAAUUUAGCAACUUUAAUUUCCAUCUUUUGUAGAGUCUUUUUAUGUUCAGGUUCUGUGUGAGUAUAUAUAUAUAACAUAAGUAAUGUAAUAAUUUUCCGUACAUAUUUAUAUAAUGAAUAAUAAAUAAGAGGAGGUUUGAAAACUCCCUCCCCGCGCCCCCCCAACACUCACACACUCUCUGCUGCUGAAAUUAUAGAAGUGAAAUCUGAGCCCUUCCUUGUCAACACUAGGAAGGUUUUACCUUCGUGCUUCUGCCAGACUCAGGCCAGGAAGCUUGCUUUGGGCCUAGUGCUUAAGCAGGAAUCCAAGAGUUUCCUUGUCAUCCUUUGAUGCGCACCAGUCCUCCUUCCUCAGCAGGUGAGGAGGGCAGUUCCAGCUGCCUCCAGCUGAUGUGGAGGUAUGAGAGACCACUUCCCCAAGUACUACAGAACUAGCUAUGAAGCUGUCUGUUCAGACAGGGAGGGCAUGGAUGUUCGUGCCUUUGCUCUCAGGGCAUUUCUGCAGCUUUUCAAGCACCCGAUAGAGGUUUAAUGUUCGUAUCCUUGACCUAUAAGAUGGAGAUAAAUGUUUGCUUCUGCAAUACACAGUUCUAAUCAGUCGAGAGUAUUUCCUUUUCUCCUCUUGAUUCAACCUGAAAUGAAACAUAUAGGUGCUUUGAAAAUACACUUCCUCUGAUUUCCUUUUUUGGUGUUUGAAUUUGCAUUUUUCCUUUCAGAUCAUAGGAAGGAACAGUUUCCCCACUUAUGUUUUGAUUUGGCUUUUAAUUUUUAGCUCACCUGUAGACUGCGUCUUAUCCCAGUUAGUUUGCAUGUCUUCCAUCAGUGGUCAGUAUAGCUCAAGGCCUUCCUUCCUGUGGUAUUUUGUUUACCUUCCUCAAGGCCAGACUGGAUGUGGCUCUGGGCAGCCUGGUCUGGUGGUUGGCAACCCUACACAUAGCAGGGGGGUUGAAACUCGAUGAUCGUUGUGGUCCUUUUCAACCCAGGCCAUUCUAUGAUUCUAUGAACACACUGCGGGGCUUUGAAGUACUGUGCCGAAGAAAUACAAGGCAGAUUGGUUUAAUCAGAUGAGGUCAAAUUUAUCGGACCCCCUGUGACGAUUUAGCUCAGUGAUGUGAGUGAAACCUUUCAUACUUUUUUUUGUCUGUCCCACCUUACCAUGGAAGCAGGAAACAUCCAGAUAGAAAUCCUUUAAUUCAAAGGAAAAAAAAAAGGAUAUUACUUUAAUUUCAUACAGUUGCAUAUUUUAGGCACUAGAGGGCAGACUUGUACCUUUGUGUAUAAAUUAAUAACUGCAAACUAAAAUAAUUAGCCGUAAAGCUAUAGAAAUAAAUGCCCAAUGAAAAACAUUUUGAUGCGCGUGUUUUUUUUUAAUAAAGCAAAUAGGAAUAUCACUUUUUACUUUAGUCAAAGCUGUUUCAUUAAGGAUUUAUUGUUGUUGUGUGCUCUAAAUUGCUUCAGCGCUCUGAAAUUUGCUGACUGAUUUCAGUUGAAAUAGCAGUGACAGGGUUGGUAGGCAAGCUGAUUCCCUUCUGUCUCUCGUUCUGUAAAUACAUUACCUCAUAGAAACUGUGCCUAUGCUAUGUUCUGUGCUCACAGGUAACUGGGUAAACUAAGUUUUCCUUUCAGAUAACUAACAAGAAUACUGCGGGCAAAAAUCAGUCACCUGAUAUUUGGGUCCAAGAUGACCAUUUCUGCAGUGCAUCUCUGUAAUUCUUUUCCUAGUAUGAAGUUUGAAUAUAAUUCUGCCAUGCAAAUGGGAAGCAUUUUGCAGUGAGGUAAGUAAGAGAUGGCAGGCACCAGCAGAACAUAACGCCUCUUGCUUGUCUUAGCUAUUCUUUCCCUUUGUUAAUUUCUCAAUAGCAGGUAUGUUUAAAAAGAAUAAUAUAGUAAUGGAAUUGAUUCACUCAGUGCUGUCUUGUGGAUAUUAAAAAAUGACUGUUUUAUUGCUUGUUAUCUCAGGUUUUACAAAUGGCAGGAGAGCAUCUGAGAUGUGCCUGUUACAUAGAAAAAGGCUCGUGUUGCAAUGAUGUUGGAAAAGCAGCAGUGUGAUUAGUUGAUACAGACAUAGAGGAUGCUGAUACCUGGCAUAAGAAUGCCAGCGGGGAGGAUCUAUCAGCUGUCUGUGAUAAAAUUCCUUUCCACACAGAAGAAUGUAUGAAAAACAUUCUUCAGAUGGAUGUUGCUAUUAACGUCUCCUCCUUUCAUGGAUUUCAUAGUAUCUAAUGACUGUUCUAAAGAUUCAGCUCUCAAAUUAGUUUAUUUAAAUAUUUCCUGAUUGUAAGGAAAACCUAAUUGAUUCAGUUUUUAUAAAAGCUUGCACAUGCAAGUUCCCGAGGCUUCAGAAUUAGUCCCUAAAUUAAACAAUUCAUAAUGACUUCUGUUUGGCCUCAUGAAGUUGUUGACUUGGUCCCAUUUCACCUGCCAUCUUCUCGCCAUCUUCUCUGGUCCUAAGACAUUCUUUCUCUAAAGCAGUAUUUUCUACUUGCCUUUUUAAUAGUACAGGCAGACGAUAAGUGUUUUUAUAGAUGAGAGCAACAACACCAAAAGGACCUUUUCUCAUCUCUUUUUUUUCAUCUGAGCAUGUUUUUUAUUGUACCGUUUCAUUUUCAGCUGCUUCAUUACUAAGAGUGGUAAACAUCCCUCUGAGACGAGAUCAAUGACCUCAAUUAUGCAGAAACAUACCUCUCCAUUUGGAAAAACCUAGUGUGAGUGGCAGCAUUCCACAGAGCCCAAGUGAAGGACAUGUGCGUUGUUCCCACCUAAGAUAUAAAUGCAGCAGGAUCUCUUCCUUCUGCUACAAAGCACGUUCAACAUCCUCUUUUUUCUACCUUUGUUUCUUAGUUGAAUUGCAGCUCUGGCAAAUAGACACUUAUAGUUGUGUGAUUUGUUUAUUGCAAAAGGGGUAAAAUGGGAGAUGGGUAAAUAUUAAGAAGAAUAUACUCAAUUGAUGUUUUCCUACCUCUUCCUACUUCUAAACGUGUCACUAAUUGCCUGAAACAAUAACAGGUAAAACACCUCAGAUGUAAAUUACGAUGUUCAGAGGUGAUAUUGUGCCUUGUGGACAGCUGCAUAGUGCUUGGCUGCCAAGAGCUGCUGUCCCCUUCACGUGUUUGCUGAAGAGGUUGUCUGUUGCAAGACUUAGCACAAAGAUACCUCCACUAAGGCUAAUGGACACUUGUACUUCAACUUGUCUUUUCUAGAUCUCUUUGUCUCCCUGUCUUUUUUUUCUCUCUUUGUGGUUUCCUGGACCGCUUAACUCCUGCUUUUUGGAUGAUCAUACUCACUUGCCUUCUUCGCAGCUGUGAGACAUUGAUCAGAGGCAUCCCUACUCCUUAUUGAGGAUUUUGCUUUAAUGUUUUACUCCAUUUCUUUUUCUAGUUUUUGGAGUGUUUCUAAAGAAUGAUGAAACUUGGGUGAGUCGUAACUGAAAAUGUAAGAACAGUUACUUUACUUACUCAUUUAAUGCACUUUUAAGAAAUGGUGCCCUGGGAAGCAAGUAAUAACAUUACACUCGGAUGUUCUGGUAUUAUCAGGUGAUUAAUCUUCAUUUGCACUAAACAUUUUGGACAUUUUUUUUUUUCAGUGCUCAGUGUGUUAGACUAUAUAAUGCACUGGCAAUCUACAGCUGCUCAUGAUGGGUGCCUUCUGGGGAAUGCUUGGAGAAUAAGACAAUUGGCUAAAUGAAAUGAAAAUUUGCCUGAUUCUGGUUGGCAGACUUAUCUGCUUAUAGGUCCCAGAAGCUUUUUACUGAGCUGUAAGGUAUGGUAUAUAGAAUAGAAAAUAUGUAUCAGGUGCUACGUAUAAUACAAAGGUAAUAGUGUUGUUUUAGACUGGGAGUUGGACAUUAAAAAGAAGAUUAGAUGUGUGGAAUUAUAUUGGACAUGAACGUGUCGAUCUGUAAAAAGUUACCUGUAAUGGCCCUUAAACAGCAGAGUGCUUGGGUUCGUUCACUGGAAACUGGUGCAAGCUUUGCUUAUAUUUGCCAUCUGUAGCCCGGGGGUCCAGGAAGGAAACUCUUAACAAAAGUUCCCAAAUGGCAAGGACAGCUAAGGCAGCAUAAAGAGUUUCACUGUUAUCCUUGCAUCUUCUGAUGCUGUCGGGGGAAUGAAUGUACUGCUGUUCCAUCAUCCACUUCCCCUGCUCAGAUGUAUUUUCUGUCUCCUACGCUCCUCGCAAGGGUCUCCCCUGGUCCAUGGGAUGCUGGGAGCUGUUAGUGCAGGUGUUGGUCAUUGCCAACCUGAUCUUAUUAGGGACAGUUGCUGAUAGGCUCUGGGUGUCAUGCCCAUCUGCAUGCUUGCUCGCUGCCAAGGCUUCCUGCAGCAUCUCCUUGCUGGAUGGGCUGUGGUUCAGUUCCUGUGCACAGACAUCUCCUUGGUCUCAGUACCUGCACUGCCUCUGUGCAGGGACUUGUUUUCUGGUUCACGUAUUCCCACGUGGGUAAGCUGGCAGCUGUUGCUGUUGCAAAGAGGUUCCUUUAGUUCAGAGUGGCCUGAAAGAGCCCGGGAGCACACACAGAGAAAUACCGCUGUAUUUUCAAUUAUCCUUUCAAAGCUGUGGGGGCAAACUUGUACAAGCUAUAUGGGUAUUCAUGUGAAGGAACAUCUGCUCGUAUGGAUAACAUUAGGAAUCACUGUACUUUAUGCCAAGUUUCAUUGUAAUUUGAAAUCUUGUUCCGUGACUCAUUUAUUUUGAAUAAAAUCUGAAUUAACCUAUAGAAGGUAUGAUUUUCCUUUUGAAAUGGACUGUGACAUUAUCCGACCAGCCAAUUGAUUGUUUACUCUGUUCAUUCAAAAUGGAAGGCUGUGGAGCAGGUAGCUUCUUUGAAACUCAACACUGCAUAGAGGCUGGGUUUAUUUCUCCCUCUCUUCAUGUAGCGUUGAACAGAUAGUAACAACCUGUCCUAUUUCUGAUGGGUGUGUGGGCAUGUUCUUUUUCUUUUCAGCCUCUGAGAAUUAAAAUCCGUUAGGAGCUGGGACCCCUUGGGAGGUGAUAGAGAAGAGCGCUUUCCACAGCCUUAGCUUGUAUUACCCUCAGUUUCAUUUUCUCAGUACAUUUUUAAGUGGAUAAGCCCCCAGCAGGUUGGGGUAGAAUUGCGUUUACUGAUUUGUGUGAUUCUAACUCAUAGGCAGGAUCAAAGCAGACAACAUUAUUAGCUGGGGUAGCUAUCAGACCUGUAGCUUCAUGUGAGCCUUUUUCUAAUUCAGAGGUUGGUUACUGUUUGGUGUGGCUUUCUGCAUCGGAGACACACAAGCAGCUGUUAAUCUUUAAGGGCUGUAUUAGACUAAGGGCUAUAUUGAGUGAGUCCUUGGUAAAGAUCAUGCAUGAGGCUAUAGUGUGAAAAGUAGGUAGUUUUGGUGUUGUAUACGUCACUCUGAAAAACCUUUGUGGCAGGGGAUGAUGUCCAUUUCGUGAGUGGGUCCUACUGAGGUAAAAGAUGAAAUUGAGCCACUACCAUAAAGCUGUUCUGAGCUGUAAGGAUAUAUCUGCUGGUGUACAUAGUUUCUGUUCACUUGAUGCUGUUUCUCAAACUUGAUGCCUUCAGAAGGAGAAAGUAUUUGAAAUGUUAGCAGGAGCGCUCAUCACUGAAUGCAAAUCAGACAGGUAAAUGGUGGCCUGAUGACUGUUAAGUGCAGCCAUUCUGUUUUCAUCAUCAGUUGUGUCUCCAUGGUGCUUCUCUUGCCUGUUAAGGCGUUGGCCUUCAGGGUCCCUGGUAGGCUGUUAUGUCCAUGCUUCCAGGUUGGGACAGACAACGCUGACCUGCAGCUCUUCCAGGGUGUUCGUGCUGGUGAGACUGUCAUGUCUGCACCAGAAACAGCCUCUUCUAGACUGAAGGGAGUAUUUAUUUCUUCUUACUAGCUGGUGCUGGUCCUAACGGUGGUUGCUUUUCUCCAGCAGUCCUGAACAGCAGAAGGUGAGUAAACUUUACUCAUUGCAAACUAAUGGUAAUUGUGGAGCUCAGAAUGUGCGGGUUGACAGUUUGUAACAGGCUAUGGUCAGUGGCUUCAAAGUAGGUAAGGAGAUUGAAGACUGUGGAUGUUAGUUGUGACAUCUAAUUCUCUCUUGCUGUUCAGAUAGGUGUGUACUUCCCCAUUUUCCUCUAACUUUAGCAAUAAUUAUAUCUUAAAUACGGCUUUAGGUAAGCCAGAACUGUGCCAUCUUAUUCAUGCAGAAAUUGGGGAGUUUGGUGUGUGCAAUGAGAUCGGGACUGUCCUUGUUCUCUUUUGGCUCUGUACAGCAGCUUUAUUGGAUUAGGAUGGGCUAGAUAACCAGAAUCUGGCCAGCACCUGACUGUGUGUAUCUGAGCCUUUUAACACUGUGUUCAGUCGUGAACAAGUGAGUUGGGUGAUGUUACUGAAUUGACCCAAAUGCUGCAUGUAGUCAGGGAGGCCACUGAGAUGUGGAUGCCUAGUGGGUGUUGAGGUUUGAUGGGAUGGAUGUUGCAAGGUAUCACUUCUCUAGGCUGUGUUUCAGAAAAGAAAGCUGUUAACUAAGUAUUCAAAUCUACUGCCUGAUGCUUCUGCUGGGAGUACUGUUGUUGCUGUUGUAAGGUAAAAUAGACAAACUUCACAAAUCUCAUUGAUUUUUUUCUCCAUGUAAAGCUCCUUUCAUUUGGCUUUCCUAAGCCAAAAAAGUGCCUGACCUGGCUUUUUGUGUGAUCAGCUACACAGCUCAGCUAUUCAAAUUGUAGCAACUUAGUACUGUUUCUAAGCUCAUAGAUCUGUUAAACCUAAAUAAAGGUAGUGAACUCUCUGAAUGCUUUGUUUUGUGAUGCUUCAGCUUUGUGGUGUCUUUUAUCAGAAAUCCAUCAGGUUUUUUUUUGUGUCAUGCUGGCUGGCACAUAUGUCUUGAAUGUAAGUCCCAUCAUUCCAUCAUUCAAUUUCAUUCCCUUGACAUCCCAUGGACUUACUGAUGUUGAGGAACCUGCCUCAGCUAACUGAAAAUAAUGGUUAUUAGACUGAAAUAAAAACUGGAAGCAUCUGAGUUGGUUUUAAUUUACUAAUGUGAGUUCCUGUGUAAAUAAAGGCUUAUUCUUGUACGUGUAAUGUAAAUUCCAUACUCUAAACAAGGAAGAAAUGUUAGAAGCCUAUCUGCUGAUAUGAAUGUCUGUACUUGCUUAUCAGAAGUUAUGUGACUCAGGUAAUCUUGAGAAAGCAAAAUGUCCAAAUACUAAACCCUUGCUGGGUGACGUAACUGGCUUUUACGUUGUUGUGGAGCUUUCUUGUCACUAAGCCCUAGCAGGCUGCAGCAUAAGUGAUCUGCCGAGAUGCAUUUUGCGAGAUAUUAAUGUCAUGAAUUAUCUAAAGUGAUUCAUAAUUGAGAAGAGUCUGUCUUUCUACAGGAAAAAGAAAAGAAAAGAAGAAAACCCACAAAGACAAACAAACAAAAAACAGCGCUCUUUUCAGGCUCUUGUAAAUGUGUUUACUUAAAAUAAAUUUCACAGAAUUACAAAACCUGGAAGUUGCACAUGUCAAACGGGAUCUCAGCUAUUUCAAUUUAGACACAUUUUCACUGUUCACAUAAUACAACAGGAAAAUUCUAAUUUUUGGCGAAUUGUAUCUUGUUUACUUUCUCCAGUGAGACCAUUUUAAAACAAUCUCUGAGUUGUUGUAUGUCUUUAUUGCGCAAAGCAGGAAAAACUACAUUACAGCUCUAUCAGCAGGUUGGUUUUUCUUCACUAAAUACCUGUUCAAGGAGCUUGCAAUGCAUACAGAAUGCUCAGCCGUGUUGUAGGUUAUAUGAAGCAUGAAAUUAAAAAUCUGAGUAUUUAUCCUGGGCUUUCCCAUCAGUGUGUCAUUUGGCUUUCCUAUGGACUCCAUACUGAAGAGGUUUUCCAAACAUAUGUCACUUAUGUCAUCGUGCAGUUCAGGGGAAGUAUCCAUGCAUCCUACAAGCUGCCAGUUUGUUUCUGGGGAAUGGCUUUAAACUGAGACAGGAGAGGUUUAGGUUAGAUAUUAGGAAGAAGUUUUUCACCCAGAGGGUGGUGACGCACUGGAACAGGUUGCCUAAGGAGGCUGUGGAUGCCCCAUCCCUGGAGGCAUUCAAGGCCAGGCUGGAUGUGGCUCUGGGCAGCCUGGUCUGCUGGUUGGCGUCUCUGCACAUAGCAGGGGGGUUGAGACUGGAAGAUCACUGUGGUCCUUUUCAACCCAGGCCAUUCUAUGAUUCUAUGAUUCCCUCUUUUUGGAUCAUCUUUCUUCAUGAAGAAAACUUGAUUUCUGUAAGCUAGCAUAGGAAUUGUAAGCCUCUACUGGCUUGCUUUCCUUGCAGCAGGGAGGGCACAAUCUGAAAUAGUCUGAGGGUGAUUGAUAGAACUCUUUUGAGUACAAGGAUGACUAGUAGUUAACUAAUGCUCUGUCUGUAUUCCCAACUCUUAUACAUGCUGAACAAAAUUAUUUUUGUGUCUAAGCUUAGUGUUACCUCAUAUGUAUUUUUACAGAGCUUCUUUAGCAAAAUGGCGG